rnacentral:rRNA from 1 species
AUGGCUAAAGGCCCAAAGGUAUCACACCCCAAGUAUGUUGAUUUCAAUAGUGAUGAAGAUGACUUGUUAGGUGAUGAUGAUUUACUUGUUGACAACUCUAGUGAUGAAUACUAUGAUGAAAUGUCAAUUGAUCAUGCUAAUCAAGAUAAAACGAAUGACAGUGAUAAGGAGAAGAUUGAGCACCUAACUAAAGAACUAAACACUCUUAAGUUAGCUCAAGAAACUAUCUUGGAAGAUCAUCGAGAACUUUUAAAGUCUCAUGAGAAGUUACACUUUGAAAAGCUCAACCUUGAGCAAGAGCAUGAGUUUUUAAAGGCA